GUGGGGAAUAUUGGACAAUGGGCGAAAGCCUGAUCCAGCCAUGCCGCGUGUGUGAAGAAGGUCUUCGGAUUGUAAAGCACUUUAAGUUGGGAGGAAGGGCAGUAAGUUAAUACCUUGCUGUUUUGACGUUACCGACAGAAUAAGCACCGGCUAACUUCGUGCCAGCAGCCGCGGUCAUACGAAGGGUGCAAGCGUUAAUCGGAAUUACUGGGCGUAAAGCGCGCGUAGGUGGCUUUGUAAGUUGGAGGUGAAAUCCCCGGGCUCAACCUGGGAACUGCCUCAGAAACUGCAUGACUAGAGUACGGUAGAGGGUAGUGGAAUUUCCUGUGUAGCGGUGAAAUGCGUAGAUAUAGGAAGGAACACCAGUGGCGAAGGCGACUACCUGGACUGAUACUGACACUGAGGUGCGAAAGCGUGGGGAGCAAACAGGAUUAGAAACCCCGGUAGUCC
rnacentral:rRNA from 1 species